rnacentral:rRNA from 1 species
UACGAAGGGUGCAAACGUUGCUCGGAAUUAUUGGGCGUAAAGGGCGCGUAGGCGGGAUGGCAAGUCAGUCGUGAAAUCUCUCGGCUCAACCGAGAAACGUCGGCUGAUACUGCCGUUCUUGAGGGAUGCAGAGGAGACUGGAAUUCCCGGUGUAGCGGUGAAAUGUGUAGAGAUCGGGAGGAACACCGGUGGCGAAGGCGGGUCUCUGGGCAUCUCCUGACGCUGAGGCGCGAAAGCGUGGGGAGCAAACAGG